AGCGAACGCUGGCGGCAGGCUUAACACAUGCAAGUCGAGCGGGCGUAGCAAUACGUCCGCGGCAGACGGGUGAGUAACGCGUGGGAACGUACCUUUUGGUUCGGAACAACACAGGGAAACUUGUGCUAAUACCGGAUAAGCCCUUACGGGGAAAGAUUUAUCGCCGAAAGAUCGGCCCGAGUCUGAUUAGCUAGUUGGUGAGGUAACGGCUCACCAAGGCGACGAUCAGUAGCUGGUCUGAGAGGAUGAUCAGCCACAUUGGGACUGAGACACGGCCCAAAAUCCUACGGGAGGCAGCAGUGGGGAAUAUUGGACAAUGGGGGCAACCCUGAUCCAGCCAUGCCGCGUGAGUGAUGAAGGCCCUAGGGUUGUAAAGCUCUUUUGUGCGGGAAGAUAAUGACGGUACCGAAAGAAUAAGCCCCGGCUAACUUCGUG
rnacentral:rRNA from 1 species